rnacentral:rRNA from 1 species
GACGAACGCUGGCGGCGUGCUUAACACAUGCAAGUCGAGCGAGGCCCAUCUUUCGGGGUGGUGUUCUAGCGGCGAACGGGUGAGUAACACGUGGGCAACCUGCCCUCAGCUCUGGGAUAACUCCAAGAAAUUGGGGCUAAUACCGGAUAUGACCGCUGACCGCAUGGUCUGGUGGUGGAAAGAUUUAUCGGCUGGGGAUGGGCCCGCGGCCUAUCAGCUUGUUGGUGGGGUAGUGGCCUACCAAGGCGA